CCUACGGGAGGCAGCAGUGGGGAAUAUUGCACAAUGGGGGAAACCCUGAUGCAGCGACGCCGCGUGAGUGAGGAAGUAUUUCGGUAUGUAAAGCUCUAUCAGCAGGGAAGAAAAUGACGGUACCUGACUAAGAAGCCCCGGCUAACUACGUGCCAGCAGCCGCGGUAAGACGUAGGGGGCAAGCGUUAUCCGGAUUUACUGGGUGUAAAGGGAGCGUAGACGGCUAAUCAAGUCAGAAGUGAAAACCCAGGGAGCAACUUUGGGACUGCUUUUGAAACUGAGUAGCUAGAGUGCAGGAGAGGUAAGCGGAAUUCCUAGUGUAGCGGUGAAAUGCGUAGAUAUUAGGAGGAACACCAGUGGCGAAGGCGGCUUACUGGACUGUAACUGACGUUGAGGCUCGAAAGCGUGGGGAGCAAACAGGAUUAGAUACCCGGGUAGUC
rnacentral:rRNA from 1 species